GAACUCACUAUGUAGACCAGGCUGGCCUCAAACUCACAGAGAACUGCCUGCCUCUGCCUCCUGAGUGCUGGGAU
ensembl:miRNA Gm25303 predicted gene, 25303